CUCAUGUUUUGCACAACGUCCUGUGUGGGACGCGGUUGCUAGGCUGCUUAAAAAUCACUCUCAAUGCUAUUUUUCAUUAAUUAAUGCCUCAUAGAGACCCAAAAAGGAUCGUGCACUGAUUUACACUAUCUUGCAUAUCCCCGGGCGUUCUCCCGGGCGUUUCAGGGCGUCCCGGGCACUCCCGGGCAGUAUUUAGUAGGACCGCAUUUUUGGGCUGCUAUGGUAGCAUGGUAAUAGUGACCAAUUUUAAUAAGUUAAUAACUGCCCAAACUAGUUGAAACAAAAGUGAUAGUUUUGUCAAUAGCUAAUUUCAAUAAAUCAAUGGUCCAUUUUCGCAAGAUAUCAAGAUAGAAAACGCUAAAUCAGAGAAUUUAUAUGAUCCAAAAGCAUAAAAUUAUCCGGGAAAACCCACCCACACUUCAACUGCCACACACCUCGUCUCCAAGCUCCUCUUCUUCUCUUUUCCUCUUUUUCUUUCUGUCUCUUUUUUCCUUAUUCUUAUUAUGCUUCUCUUGUUUAUAUAACAUACUUCUUUUCACCUUAUUUUUCACACGAGACAAGUCUACUGAACGCUUUUUAUCACAAGUACCAACUUCGCUUACCUCACUUUUGUCCGCCAUCUUGGCCGAGUGUCACGCUUACGGACUGGGACGGACUUUGUUGAAGUUUUGGAAUAACCCUUUAUAUCCAUGGUUGUUCAAUAUCGUUUGGAUUAGUUACCCCCUUAUGUUCGUG